rnacentral:rRNA from 1 species
UAUGGAGAGUUUGAUCCUGGCUCAGGACGAACGCUGGCGGCGUGCCUAAUACAUGCAAGUCGAGCGGACUUGAAGAGAAGCUUGCUUCUCUGAUGGUUAGCGGCGGACGGGUGAGUAACACGUAGGCAACCUGCCUGCAAGACUGGGAUAACAUUCGGAAACGAAUGCUAAUACCGGAUACACAAUUUGGCUGCAUGGCUGAAUUGGGAAAGACGGAGCAAUCUGUCACUUGCAGAUGGGCCUGCGGCGCAUUAGCUAGUUGGUGGGGUAACGGCUCACCAAGGCGACGAUGCGUAGCCGACCUGAGAGGGUGAUCGGCCACACUGGGACUGAGACACGGCCCAGACUCCUACGGGAGGCAGCAGUAGGGAAUCUUCCGCAAUGGACGAAAGUCUGACGGAGCAACGCCGCGUGAGUGAUGAAGGUUCUCGGAUCGUAAAGCUCUGUUGCCAGGGAAGAACA